rnacentral:lncRNA from 1 species
GCUUGUUACUCUCUGAGCCAUCUCUCUGGCCCAUACUUUAGUUUUUGUUUGGAAAAUGACUUUAAAAAUUACGUAAGUACAUUGACCUCAUUAGUCAUAUGUAGGGCUAUUUAUGUUUGAGUCCUGUGAAAGUUGGUGCUUUUAUUUUGCUUUGCUCUUAGUGAAAUCUUCUCCAUGACCUCCCAUUCCAUCUGUGCUUGUGAGGGUUCGUAAAGGAUAGCCAACGAGGGUUGAGAGUAAUCAGCACUGCAGGGCAAGCUGAUCUCAGAUCAAUAAAGAGGUUUUCACCCUCAUAUCAUAUCCCAUCCUGACAGCCUAUGAGUCUAGGAAAAGAAAACAUUUCAGGGUGGGUGGAGAUUCCUUGCAUCUCCUUCUCAUCCUUCACAUUGCCCCUGGCUCUGGAGGGUCUUCCCUACCCGCACUGAUGUUCUUUAUCCUUCCUGAAUACUUCCUAAGGAUGAUGUUCAUAAUCACCACCAUAGCAACUAAGUGUUGACCAACCAACCUACACCAGGGACUCAUCAUCAGUUGUCAUGCUUCUGUCACACACUACCCUCUGAGAUGUAUACAGUAUUUGUGCCCCUUGCCUAGGCUGAACUGAGGCACAGUCUUUUGAGGGAGGACACACUCUAGCUGUGGAGUAACAGUUGGGGUUUGUUAAAAGAAUGUGCGAAUGGCAAAUUCUCUGUGUUGAAGUCCUUUCUGUUUAUUUGAGGCAGGGUCUCUUGUAGCCCGCAUUGGCUGUGAACUGGCUGAGACUGAGGAUGGCUUUGAACUCUGUAUCCACUUGAUCCACCUUUGGAAUGCUGCAAUUUCAGUCAUGUGCAUCACCAGGACUAAUAUGGUGCUAGAGGUUGACUUGAGGGCCCUUAGAAUGUUAGGACAGUAUUCUCUCAACUGAGCUGCAUCUCCACUUUAGAUUUUUCUGUUGAAUAUAUCCCACUUGUUCUAUUUGCUGUAUUAAAUCCUGGCUUAAUCACCUACAAAGGACCUUCCUCUGAAUCCUGAUUAGUUUAGCCAUCUACAAAGAAAGGGCCUUCCUCUGAAUUAUUUUAUCAAAUAUUUAACAGCCACAGACAAUUUACUGUGGGUUAAAGGAACAUGCGGUAGACUGAGCUCCAAGACUGGAACUGAGCAUCUCAUACUUUGUAUGUUCUUAUAGAACCCUAGCCACACCCAGGAAACAAUAGCAGCCUCUGUUUUGUUCGACAGAGAAGCUGGUUCAGCACAAAGCAUACGUUGCUACGUUGCCCCGGCUACUCUAACACUCACAUUUUGGUUUCUUCUCCUGCACUGAUGCCUGAUGCUCCAAGUCUCCAGGAAAACAAAGAAGAUUAAGGAGAGAUCCAAAGUGUUGCAACAAGUCUCCCUGACUCAGUAUUCAGAUGUCCCUUGGGACUGUUCUCACAUCCUUCUCAGAUGCCCCUCAGGACCCCCUCCCACACACACCUGACUUUUCUACCAAUGCGUCCCCAGUGUCUUCCAGGCCCACAGAAAGUCAGUCUUCGGAAAAACCUUCUCCAAACGCUGAACUUGGCUCAGGCUCUCCUCAAUUCUGCCUCAGAACAACCGCAUGAAAUGGAAAGUAUCUGUUUACACGUCUGCCCGCCUCACUAGAGGGUGAGGACAUCAGAGGCAGAGCUGGAUCUUAUACAUUUCAGCAUCUCACUGCCUGGCCUCAUGCCAGUACAUAGUGGGUGCUCGAUGAACGUCUGUGUAAUCUACCUGUAAGUGAACCACUGGACAAUUGGACCAAAGCUGCUUUUCCCACCCCAUCUGUUUCCAUGCCUACUACAUAGCAGGUUUUCAGACUCACUUUGCAGAAGGACCAGGAUGAAGAUGUUAAAGCAUGCAUCCUUAGGCCCCUGCCCAGAAAUCAGAACCUGCACCCUCCCCCAACAUGCAGACAAGUAACCAGGUUUUAGAGUCAUUGCUUACACCAUGUGGCCAGAGACAGCUGAACCAAGCAGGGGUGGGGUGGGGGAGGUCUAGAUGUGCUAUAGCCAGAGGGGAGGGGUAAGAAACAGAAAGAAAUGUCUCAUCAGAAGUGCUGGAAUUUUAGUUUUUUUAGUGCAAACAACCUCAAGCAAGAUAAAUGAGGUCAAAGAAUUUAGUGCAAAACUCCAGAGCCCCUAUCAACCACCUCAUUCCAUCUCUUUCAAGAAAACAAGUUUGAAAGAG